rnacentral:tRNA from 1 species
AUUUAAAUAGCUUAAGUAUAGAGCAUGACAUUGAAGCUGUUAAAGUAAUUUUUAUUUUUAAAUA